rnacentral:rRNA from 1 species
UACGUAGGUGGCGAGCGUUGUCCGGAUUUAUUGGGUUUAAAGGGUGCGUAGGCGGCUUUGUAAGUCAGUGGUGAAAUACUCCAGCUUAACUGGAGGGGUGCCAUUGAUACUGCGGAGCUUGAGUACAGAUGAGGUAGGCGGAAUUGACGGUGUAGCGGUGAAAUGCAUAGAUAUCGUCAAGAACACCGAUAGCGAAGGCAGCUUACUGGGCUGUAACUGACGCUGAUGCACGAAAGUGUGGGGGAUCAAACAGG